ACUGCACAAAGAAUUUCAGAAAGAAGGUGUAAACAUGAAGCUAAUGUAUAGUCUUAACAGCUGCAUCAUGGACAAGCACCAUCGCCACAGAUUCAGCUUUAAAAGACAGGAUAUGGGGUCAGUGGUUUUCAAUGUUUUUUCUGCUUCCAUCCCAUCCAUAGCCACCGAGAGCAUGUCCUGUCAUCCAGAAUAUUUUGCAUUAAAUGAUUCGUAGCAGUUCAAUGGUGCAGCAGAGAUGCAGAAGCUGCAAUUUGUGUCUCGGUGGACUUCCUCCUUCUGUCUUUCCCUUCCUUCUUUCUUUCCUUCCUUUCUCCUCAGAGUAAUAGAACUCUGUGUUUAGCUGGGAAGAUGUCUGCCUAGAAUGAAGACUCUAUUUUCUAGGGUGUCUUGCAGAAAGGUGCAACAGUUGACUAAGAUCUGAGCAAUGAGAUGCAAGUGUCCUUAAAAGUAGGAGCCGUUCCCUUCUUUCCUGUUAUGUCAGCUGCAACAGGAUGUGAAUGUAAUAAUGGUGCUCCAGCAGCCACAUAUGACCGUAAAUGAACUCAAAAUGGAAUCCAUGCAUACAUGGAGUAAAAAGAUAAAGAAAGCCUGCAACCCUAACACUGUUGAAUCCCUAACCAGCCUUGCAAUGAUCACUUCCAGUCUUCCUGACAAGAGAGAAAUAAACUUCUGUUUUCUUCAAGUCA